UACGUAGGGUGCAAGCGUUGUCCGGAAUUAUUGGGCGUAAAGAGCUCGUAGGCGGUCUGUUGCGUCGGCUGUGAAAACCCGGGGCUCAACCCCGGGCCUGCAGCCGAUACGGGCAGACUAGAGUUCGGCAGGGGAGACUGGAAUUCCUGGUGUAGCGGUGAAAUGCGUAGAUAUUGGGAGGAACACCGGUGGCGAAGGCGGCCCCCUGGACCGGUACUGACGCUGAGGCGCGAAAGCGUGGGUAGCAAACGGG
rnacentral:rRNA from 1 species